rnacentral:lncRNA from 1 species
AAUUAUUCAAAUACUAUCUCCUCUCAUUUUAGGGUUAGCGCCGCCUCUUUUCCUCGGUUCUCUAAAAUCCACCCUUCCCCUUUUCUCCUCCGGCUGUUUAGCGGCGGCGCCGAUUUUCUCCCUCUCAAUCACUCUCCAUCGUCUUCUCUCUCUCCCUCACACUCUAUUUUUCAACUCCCAUCUCUGUCGACCUCUGGUUUCGCAACACAUCCAUCACUGACGCCGCUACACGCGGCGUCGCCUUCCUCGUCGGCGACGACGAAUGCGCCGCCGCCUCCUUCAGCACAACUCGCAUCCAGCCGCUGCCGUCCGGGUUUCAAACGCCGGCGUCACCCAAGCUUGCAGAUCUCGGCCCCCUCCCUCGUCUGCAUCUUAAAUUCCACGAUUCUCCUUAUAAAUAUUUGUCUGCUUGUUAAUGUGGAUUUUUCUUGUCAGUGUGUGUGUGUGUUUACAUUAUUUUUGGAAUUCACAAUUUAAUAUGUCAAAAGCAGAGGUUUAACUGUACACGGAAUUAUAACUUUCCCUAUGAGCUCUUUGUGUUAAAACCCUGGCUAACAUAAAAAUCAAGAUAAUUAAGCUCUUCAGUUUCCUCCUUGAGAAAUUCAUUAUUUAGUAAUACAUUUAUUUGGAGUAUAAGGAAUCAUGUUUGUGAGCAAUGAAAUAGAACAAAGAAACAAGAACAAUUUAUCCCUUGAACGAGCUGAAUGCAGAAGCAUCUGAU